rnacentral:tRNA from 1 species
GCCGAAGUAGCUCAGUGGCAGAGCAACGCUUUCGUAAAGCGUGGGUCGUGGGUUCGAUUCCCACUUUCGGCUCAA